rnacentral:lncRNA from 1 species
GGUAACAGUCAAAAACCUUUAUAGUAUUCAGAGAGUAAGUUAGGUUCCCAUUUGAGCCUCAGUACUCCUGAACAAGUAAAGACAGAAUUUCUGUUUUGCAGGUGAGAAACAAAGUCUGGAGAGGUUGGUGAAUCUUGACAGUGGUCACUUAUGGGUCUCACACUGGAAUUGGGGUCCUGUGGCCAACAGGCUGUAGGAACUUUUACAGAAGGCACACUCCUCCAGUGGACUGCAGCUAAGGGAGGGACACUCUCAGAAGACAGGCCUGGUUGGGAGGCUGCCAGCAGGUCUAUGGCUGCUGAAGACUCACUCCCUACUUCUUUGGUCUUUGCAGCUGAGGUUGCAUCAGGAAGCUAUGGCUUCCAACCACUUGAGGAA